rnacentral:rRNA from 1 species
AGUAACGGGUGGAAAACCUGCCCUUCAAUGGGGGAUAACAGUUCUAACGAACUGCUAAUACCGCAUACGACCUUAGGAUCGCAUGGUCUCUAGGUGAAAGGUGGCGAUCUCUUCGGAGAGCUGCCGUUGAAGGAUGGUUCCGCCUCCCAUUAGCUUGUUGGUGGGGUAAUGGCCUACCAAGGCGACGAUGGGUAGCCGGCCUGAGAGGGUGUCCGGCCACACUGGGACUGAGAUACGGCCCAGACUCC